UACGUAGGGGGCAAGCGUUUGUCCGGAUUCAUUGGGCGUAAAGAGCUCGUAGGCGGCUUGGCAAGUCGGGUGUGAAAACUUCAGGCUCAACCUGGAGCGGCCACUCGAUACUGCCAUGGCUUGAGUCCGGUAGGGGACCACGGAAUUCCUGGUGUAGCGGUGAAAUGCGUAGAUAUACGGAGGAACACCUGCGGCGAAGGCGGGAUGAGCUGGGCCAACACUGACGCUGAGACGCGAAAGCUAGGGGAGCAAACGGG
rnacentral:rRNA from 1 species